CGAACGCUGGCGGCGUGCUUAACACAUGCACGUCGAACGGGAUUUAGUAAACAGAAGCCUCGGUGGAAGAUUACUAAUGAGAGUGGCGAACGGGUGAGUAACGCGUGAGCAACCUGCCUAUGACAGUGGGAUAGCCUCGGGAAACCGGGAUUAAUACCGCAUAAAAUCGUAGACACACAUGUUUUAACGGUCAAAGAUUUAUCGGUCAUAGAUGGGCUCGCGUCUGAUUAGCUAGUUGGUGAGAUAACAGCCCACCAAGGCGACGAUCAGUAGCCGGUCUGAGAGGAUGAACGGCCACAUUGGAACUGAGACACGGUCCAAACUCCUACGGGAGGCAGCAGUGGGGAAUAUUGCACAAUGGGGGAAACCCUGAUGCAGCGACGCCGCGUGAACGAAGAAGGUAUUCGUAUCGUAAAGUUCUGUCCUAUGGGAAGAUAAUGACAGUACCAUAGAAGAAAGCUCCGGCUAAAUACGUG
rnacentral:rRNA from 1 species